GACGAACGCUGGCGGCGUGCUUAACACAUGCAAGUCGAACGAUGAAGAAGAGAAACGCGAACUUCGGUUCAACUUUCACUUCGGAUUAGUGGCAGACGGGUGAGUAACGCGUGAGCAACCUACCUCUUACAAAGGGAUAGCCUCGGGAAACCGUGAUUAAUACCAUAUGACACAUUCAUAAGGCAUCUUAAGAAUGUUAAAGCUACGGCGGUAAGAGAUGGGCUCGCGUCCCAUUAGCUAGUUGGUGAGGUAACGGCCCGCCAAGGCGACGAUGGGUAACCGGCCUGAGAGGGUGAACGGUCACAUUGGAACUGAGACACGGUCCAAACUCCUACGGGAGGCAGCAGUGGGGAAUAUUGCACAAUGGAGGGAACUCUGAUGCAGCGACGCCGCGUGAGCGAUGAAGGAAUUCGUUUCGUAAAGCUCUGUUCUAUGGGAAGAAAAGGACUGUACCAUAGGAGAAAGCCCCGGCUAAAUACGUG
rnacentral:rRNA from 1 species